rnacentral:rRNA from 1 species
UGGGGAAUAUUGGACAAUGGGCGAAAGCCUGAUCCAGCCAUGCCGCGUGAGUGACGAAGGCCUUAGGGUUGUAAAACUCUUUCGUCGGGGACGAUAAUGACGGUACCCGAAGAAGAAGCUCCGGCUAACUUCGUGCCAGCAGCCGCGGUAAUACGAAGGGAGCUAGCGUUGUUCGGAAUCACUGGGCGUAAAGCGCACGUAGGCGGAUAGUUAAGUCAGGGGUGAAAUCCUGGGGCUCAACCCCAGAACUGCCUUUGAUACUGGCUGUCUCGAGGUCGAGAGAGGUGAGUGGAAUUCCUAGUGUAGAGGUGAAAUUCGUAGAUAUUAGGAAGAACACCGGUGGCGAAGGCGGCUCACUGGCUCGAUACUGACACUGAGGUGCGAAAGCGUGGGGAGCAAACAGGAUUAGAUACCCAUGUAGUCCCUGAGCGGGCUGGCAAGGCGCAU